rnacentral:misc_RNA from 1 species
GAUGAAGAACGUAGCGAAAUGCGAUAAGUAAUGUGAAUUGCAGAAUUCAGUGAAUCAUCGAAUCUUUGAACGCACAUUGCGCCCCUUGGUAUUCCGAGGGGCAUGCCUGUUCGAGCGUCAUUAUAACCCCUCAAGCUCAGCUUGGUGUUGGGGCCUGCUGCACUGGCAGCCCUUAAAAUCAGUGGCGGCGCCAUCUGGCUCUAAGCGUAGUAAUUCUUCUCGCUAUGGAGUCCUGGUGGAUGCUUGCCAUCAACCCCCAAUUUUUCUAUGGUUGACCUCGGAUCAGGUAGGGAUACCCGCUGAACUUAUGCAUAUCAAUAGGCGGAGGA